AUUGAACGCUGGCGGCAUGCCUUACACAUGCAAGUCGAACGGUAACAGGUCUUCGGAUGCUGACGAGUGGCGAACGGGUGAGUAAUACAUCGGAACGUGCCCGAUCGUGGGGGAUAACGAAGCGAAAGCUUUGCUAAUACCGCAUACGAUCUACGGAUGACAGCAGGGGACCGCAAGGCCUUGCGCGGACGGAGCGGCCGAUGGCAGAUUAGGUAGUUGGUGGGAUAAAAGCUUACCAAGCCGACGAUCUGUAGCUGGUCUGAGAGGACGACCAGCCACACUGGGACUGAGACACGGCCCAGACUCCUACGGGAGGCAGCAGUGGGGAAUUUUGGACAAUGGGCGAAAGCCUGAUCCAGCCAUGCCGCGUGCAGGAUGAAGGCCUUCGGGUUGUAAACUGCUUUUGUACGGAACGAAAAGACUCUGGUUAAUACCUGGGGUCCAUGACGGUACCGUAAGAAUAAGCACCGGCUAACUACGUG
rnacentral:rRNA from 1 species